rnacentral:rRNA from 1 species
GUGGGGAAUCUUCCACAAUGGACGAAAGUCUGAUGGAGCAACGCCGCGUGAGUGAAGAAGGGUUUCGGCUCGUAAAGCUCUGUUGUCGGGGACGAAUGUGCAGUAUUUGAAUAAAGUACUGCAAUGACGGUACCUGACGAGGAAGCCACGGCUAACUACGUGCCAGCAGCCGCGGUAAUACGUAGGUGGCAAGCGUUGUCCGGAAUUAUUGGGCGUAAAGGGAGCGCAGGCGGGAAGGUAAGUCGGUCUUAAAAGUGCGGGGCUCAACCCCGUGAUGGGAUCGAAACUAUCUUUCUUGAGUGCAGGAGAGGAAAGUGGAAUUCCCAGUGUAGCGGUGAAAUGCGUAGAUAUUGGGAAGAACACCGGUGGCGAAGGCGACUUGCUGGCCAGCAACUGACGCUGAGGCGCGAAAGCCAGGGGAGCAAACGGGAUUAGAAACCCCUGUAGUCC